rfam:Rhodnius prolixus Rhodnius_prolixus-3.0.3-414.12, whole genome shotgun sequence.
CCCGUAUGAAAGACAUGGGUAGUGAGAUGGGUAAGUAGGAUCUACAUCUCACUACCUUGUCUUUCAUGCGGAC